rnacentral:rRNA from 1 species
AUUGAACGCUGGCGGCAGGCCUAACACAUGCAAGUCGAGCGGAUGAAGGGAGCUUGCUCCUGGAUUCAGCGGCGGACGGGUGAGUAAUGCCUAGGAAUCUGCCUGGUAGUGGGGGAUAACGUCCGGAAACGGGCGCUAAUACCGCAUACGUCCUGAGGGAGAAAGUGGGGGAUCUUCGGACCUCACGCUAUCAGAUGAGCCUAGGUCGGAUUAGCUAGUUGGUGGGGUAAAGGCCUACCAAGGCGACGAUCCGUAACUGGUCUGAGAGGAUGAUCAGUCCCAUUGGAACUGGGACACGGUCCAGAAUCCUACGGGAGGCAGCAGUGGGGAAUAUUGGACAAUGGGCGAAAGCCUGAUCCAGCCAUGCCGCGUGUGUGAAGAAGGUCUUCGGAUUGUAAAGCACUUUAAGUUGGGAGGAAGGGCAGUAAGUUAAUACCUUGCUGUUUUGACGUUACCAACAGAAUAAGCACCGGCUAACUUCGUG